rnacentral:rRNA from 1 species
GACGAACGCUGGCGGCGUGCCUAAUACAUGCAAGUCGAGCGCAGGAAACUGACGGAACUCUUCGGAGGGAAGGCAGUGGAAUGAGCGGCGGACGGGUGAGUAACACGUAAGGAACCUGCCUCAAGGAUUGGGAUAACUCCGAGAAAUCGGAGCUAAUACCGGAUAGUUCAACGGACCGCACGGUCCGCUGAUGAAAGGCGCCCCGGCGUCACCUUGAGAUGGCCUUGCGGUGCAUUAGCUAGUUGGUGGGGUAACGGCCCACCAAGGCGACGAUGCAUAGCCGACCUGGGAGGGUGAUCGGCCACACUGGGACUGGGACACGGCCCAGACUCCUACGGGAGGCAGCAGUAGGGAAUCUUCCACAAUGGACGAAAGUCUGAUGGAGCAACGCCGCGUGAGUGAUGAAGGUUUUCGGAUCGUAAAACUCUGUUGUAAGGGAAGAACACGUACGAGAGGAAAUGCUCGUACCUUGACGGUACCUUACGAGAAAGCCACGGCUAACUACGUGCCAGCAGCCGCAGUAACAC